GAUGAACGCUAGCUACAGGCUUAACACAUGCAAGUCGAGGGGUAACGAGAGGAAAGCUUGCUUUCCUUGUCGACGACCGGCGCACGGGUGAGUAACGCGUAUCCAACCUGCCCCCAACUAAGGAAUAACCUUGCGAAAGUAAGACUAAUACCUUAUAAUUUCCUCAGAUGUCAUCUGACGAGGAAUAAAGAUUUAUCGGUUGUGGAUGGGGAUGCGUCUGAUUAGCUUGUUGGCGGGGUAACGGCCCACCAAGGCAACGAUCAGUAGGGGUUCUGAGAGGAAGGUCCCCCACAAUAGAACUGAGACACGGUCCAAACUCCUACGGGAAGCAGCAGUGAGGAAUAUUGGUCAAUGGGCGGAAGCCUGAACCAGCCACGUAGCGUGCAGGAUGACGGCCCUAUGGGUUGUAAACUGCUUUUAUACAGGAAUAAAGUUAGCCACGUGUGGUUAUUUGUAGGUACUGUAUGAAUAAGGACCGGCUAAUUCCGUGCCAGCCGCCGCGGUAACAC
rnacentral:rRNA from 1 species